GAUGAACGCUGGCGGCGUGCCUAAUACAUGCAAGUCGAGCGAACAGACGAGGAGCUUGCUCCUCUGACGUUAGCGGCGGACGGGUGAGUAACACGUGGAUAACCUACCUAUAAGACUGGGAUAACUUCGGGAAACCGGAGCUAAUACCGGAUAAUAUAUUGAACCGCAUGGUUCAAUAGUGAAAGAUGGUUUUGCUGUCACUUAUAGAUGGAUCCGCGCCGCAUUAGCUAGUUGGUAAGGUAACGGCUUACCAAGGCAACGAUGCGUAGCCGACCUGAGAGGGUGAUCAGCCACACUGGAACUGAGACACGGUCCAGACUCCUACGGGAGGCAGCAGUAGGGAAUCUUCCGCAAUGGGCGAAAGCCUGACGGAGCAACGCCGCGUGAGUGAUGAAGGUCUUCGGAUCGUAAAACUCUGUUAUUAGGGAAGAACAAAUGUGUAAGUAACUAUGCACGUCUUGACGGUACCUAAUCAGAAAGCCACGGCUAACUACGUG
rnacentral:rRNA from 1 species